rnacentral:piRNA from 1 species
UGGCAUCACAUACCCAUAUAACCUACAGAA